CAUUCGACUUUACGAAUUUACGAGAUUAUAUGAUAUUUUCUAUGACUCUGAAGUUAGAAACUUAUAGUAUAGUACAUUUGGAUGAAACGACAUAUUAAUAUUGUAAACAACUGUUUAAUUGUUAAAUAAUAAUUUAUACUAUUCUAUACUAGCAAUUUUAUAAAAUGAAUAGUUCAUCAGAUCCUAGGCGUCCAGAACGAGAAAUUCGUUAUAAACCUAAUGUGUCAAGCAAUCAAGCACAACCAGGCGAUAACUCAACUCCAGAUUAUAUGAAUAUAUUAGGAAUGAUAUUUAGUAUGUGUGGUUUAAUGAUGAGAUUAAAAUGGUGUGCAUGGGUUGCAUUAUAUUGUUCAUGUAUUAGUUUUGCUAAUUCGAAAGUGAGUGAUGAUACUAAACAAAUUCUCAGUAGUUUUAUGUUAUCAAUAUCAGCUGUUGUAAUGUCAUACUUACAAAAUCCACAACCCAUGACUCCACCAUGGGCAUCUGCAAUAUAAUAAAGGAAUUUUUAAAUUUUUAUGAAUUUCUAUGAAUUUUGAUCAUUAAUUAUGUAAUUAAUUUUUGGAAUACAUAUAUAUAUAUGUAUAUGUAUAUGUAUAAAUUUAAUACAAUAGUUUUAUCAGUAUGAUUUAAUGAUUUUUCAAUAUAAUAAUAUUAUUUAAACUAAAUAAGUUAAAAUACAAGAAAAAUAAAAAGAAAAUUGAAUCUAUAUUUUUAUUUUUUGAAAAUUUAUAUUUUAAUACAUUAAAUGAAGUAUUUUGUAAUAUAUCACUUUUUCCUAAUCAUAUUCUACAAAUAUGUCAUUUAUAAUAUUACUAAUAUAUAUUAUUUAUAUGCUAUAUAUAAUAUUUUAUAUAUAUAAAUAUCUAUUGUGUAAAUCAAAAAUUAAAUGGGUCAAAUAUAUUUUUUCUAUUUUUUUUUUUUUUUUUUUACAUAAAUACAAUAGUUUUAAAGUUUCAACUAUUAAAAGACUUAAUAAAAAUUGUAUUCCAUAAUCUAUUAUAUAAUCAUAUCUUUUUAAUGGUUAUAUAUUUUACAUUCUAUAAAUUUAUAUGUCUUCAGUCCCAUUUUUGCAUUCAUUAAAAAGUUAGUAUAAAGAUUUUAAUAGAAAUUAUUGUUCAAUUUUAUUGUGAAAAAAAAUAUUAGAGAUCAAAUAAAAGAAUUAAUAUUUAAGACAAAAUUAUAUCGAUGAUUACAAAAGAUACAUUAAACUAUAUUAUUUUAUUACACAUUUGUUAAUUCUAUUAAAAGACUGUACAAAAAUGCAUAAAAACUUUCAUACUAAAUACGAUUGACAUUGAGUAGGCCAGUGCAGUUUCUAUAUAAAUGUUCACGCUUUCUCGCUAUGUUAUAACAAUUAACAGUUAACAAAAACAAGAAUCGAUAUUUUUCAAAAUUGAUAUCCCUUUUGAAUAACAAGGCAUCAUUGAUUUGUGAAAAAUCGUCAUUCAUAUAACUCGCUGCCUUUUCGAUAAUUUCUUUAUUUAUUAAAUCUUUAAUAUACAUUCUAUAUCUUAUUUGUCCUUUGGUUUAUCAUUUAGUCAGACAGAAAAGUUUCUGAAUCAGAAAAUAUUUCAUUACAUUAGAAAAAUGACUGUACAAAAAGGAAAAAAAGUAGCAUUUUUAUCCUACAAUAAGAAUUAAAUAUUAUAUUAUUCGAAUUUGACUAUCUACUUAUUAUUCGAGAAAAAUCUUUUACAUCUCGAGUCUCCGUUUAUUCUUUCUUAAACUUCAAUGAAAGAUCAUAUAAAAAGAGGCUACACAGAUAUAUGGCCCAUCAAUUUUAGAAUAUUUUGCAUUUUCAUUUAUUCGAGGAUUCAAGGAAACGAUUUUAAACGAUCACAUUGAAGAAAGUGAUAUUGGCACCUAAUGGUUGAUUUAAAUCUAUCUCGCCUCUUUUCUAUGGUCCCCGGUUGAUCUUACAUUUCGCAAUUAAACGCUACUUUCACCACGACCAACCAGCGUGAUCGGAUACACGUAUUUCUUUCGUUUCGCGUUAAAGAAAGGCGAAUUAUGUUGUCCAUGCGUAGGUGUUGGCGAUAAUCCACGUAGAAGAGGUAACGAAACAUCACCGGGCAUUCCUGUCGCAUCAAAUUUCUUCUUCCAUUCUGCUCCUAAAUCCGUAGCUGGCGCCAUUAAACCUUUACAUUCUGGAGAACUUCUCACGCUGAGGAACACAUCGUUGCUGCUAUCACGUUGUCCAGAAGAACCCUGUGAAAAAAGAGAAACCUAAUUGCACCCGGUUUGACGUUUGAGAUGUCCUGGAUGAAUGGGAAGAGUUAUGCGACGAGGAAUUUUCGGACAGAUCAUCUCUGCAGCAGGCAGCCGUACAUACUCUUUGCUCUCUGCAAUUUUCCCAUUUUUAAAUAUCAUUCAAUGAUUUAUUUAUUUUAACAUGGAAUAAUAACGAAUCAAAAGGGAGGAAAAUUCUAACUACCUCCUGACGAUAACAGAGUCUCGUCUUCUUGGUACUGGCGGCGGAAGACCAGCGGUUAAGCUUUUGGCGCUUUCAUAACUCGCUUCGCUAUUACCGCUGCUUGUAUUACUCCCAUUGUUCCCUUCCCUCAGGAAGUAAUUCUUCGCCGAAAGCAUGGCGAAGUGAAGGUUGUUCUUCAAGUCGUCCGCCGCCGUUGACAAGUUUCCCGAGAUUUUUGGUGUGCGUCUCAUCGGGCGAGGUGGUGGUACCGGAGAUGGUGGACUGCUCGACGCCUCCGACAACGUUUCCGGUGUGGCCAAUGGCGCCGUUCGAGAAUUGUCGUCCCAAUCGCUUCGACGAUUCGAUCUUCGCAUUCAAAAGAAAAAAAUGAUCUUUAACACAGUUCUUGAAAUUAAUCAGGGAAAUAAAAAAAUUAAAACUGCAGCCAAAAAACAACAUUUUACUCUUCAAAGAUGAAUAGGAGGAGAAAAUAAGAUUUCUUUUUAUUGGAAUAAAAUGUUCCUCUUGAGCUGCGAAUUUUUUGAAGAUAAAAUUUUCCGUUCUAUAAUCUGAUGGAAUGCAAUGAUUUAUGUGCAUAAUUGUCGAAGCGGUGAAAACUGUGAGCCAUGAAAAAUAAGCGAGUGUUAAUGAGAGCGUGACAUAUGAGAUACCUUGAAAUAUGUGGAACGAUAUAUUUUUGAUUAUUUAUAGGCGCGAAUGACUUGAACGAGAUCAGAAACGUAACGUUUCAAACAUAAUUAGACAGGUAACGGAAAUUAUUCAAUGAUUCUCGCAAAGUACAAUGCGAAUCAUAAUAUAAGAAACGGAAUAUUCUCUUGACCGAGAAAGAGUUUAUCAAAACGAUCAAUUUGAUUGCAAGAAAAUGUCAAUCGUUAUCUCGUCAAUGGCUCUCUCUUCUUUGCUCUAAAAGUCCUCAUCGUGAAUCUAAUUCGUUAUAUUCGGCGUCGACUAAUGACCAAAUCCUUCGUCACGGAACGGCAGUUCGUCGUCCAGUUCGUUAAAAUUGUCUAUUCUUACGAUUUACUCUCGUCGGCCCUGGGCGUGUUGAGCAAUUCGCUGGCCAGACUGACGUACUCCCAUGGAAUCCCUCUCGAGUCGACGCUCAGCUCCCGGCCAGCCUGAGGGAAUUCCGAGGGGCUUUGGAGGGACGUGAAGCUCGUCUCUAGGCAGAGUUUGUGCGGUGGCGUCCCAGCCAUGUUGCUAGGAUGCGAUUUAACGGGGCUUGAGGACGAGAGCAACGCUCUCAUCUCCUGCUCGAUCUCCAUCUCCUGGACCUCGCCGGUCUCCCGUGCCUCCGACGCCUCCGUCGACGAUGCAUGACCGGAAGCUAACCUCUGCGGCUUCACCGGCCCCAGGGUCGUUACAACCUGACAUAUCCACACGCGUGUUUCCAAUGUAAUCGUUUCAUCUUGCCUUCGCCGACAAUUUCCGCAUUACUUCGUGUUAUGACAGUUAAUGAUGAAAACAAUAUCUUAUUGUGAUUCAAGAAGCAAAUUUUAUUUUGAUCGAUGUUUGGUAAAUAUAUAUGGUGUAUAUUGAUAUACACAAAUGUGGCAUCGUGAUGCGUGAUAAUGACGGAUGAUUAUGUUGCGUGUACAUCGAAAUUUUUCAUUAUGAAAAGAAGGAAAGAUUGAAUUUGAUGUAAGAUAAGAUAAAAGGGUAAAGAUUCGUAGUCGUUUUUUCCGAUUCAAUUUUGUAUAGUGUCUUCGUUAUUAUAUAUUGAAAAAAUUAAUUUAUAAUAUAAAUUUCUUUCCUUUACUUCUCCAUUAUUUACAUUUUGAAAUUUUAAAUUUAAUAUUCAAGCAGUUGGUGCAAAUCAAUGAUCAAUCAACACGUAAGGAGAUUAUUUUAUUAAUUUAAAUAAGAUUUUUGUCAUUAUUAAUAUAUAUAUAUAUAUAUAUAUAUAUAUAUAUAUAUAUAUAUAUAUAUAUAUAUAUAUAAGAUAAAAAUAAGAAUAGAUAUGUCUUUCAUCGAAACGAAAAUUUAAACGUUGAUUUUAAGAUUAUUUCGAAGAGGAUAAAUUAUUGAAAUAUUUUUCUACUCUGCUAAUCUUUUUAAAAAAAUAUUUCUAAAUAUGAUUCUUCUAUUGGAAAUAGAGAAAAAAACUUUAUAUAUCUCGAAAGUAAUUUUGACGAAAAAAAAUCGAGAAUUUUGUAAUUUAAUGUUACGAAAAAAAAAAUGAAUAAAAAUGUCUAAUUUUCAUUAAUUUAAUAUGAAAAUUCUUAGAGAAUAUUCAUGAAAAAUUUUACAUGAAUAAAAAAAUUUAAUAAAUAUUAACGAAAUGUCGCUUACAUACAUUUAGAAUUCUUAAAAGCGAAUUUUUUUUAUUUAUAAUGUAGUUAAAGUUUAAAAAAAUGCAAUUUUAUGAUAAAAUAUGAACGUGAAUUGUUAUUUUUUCCACGAUGACGAAAAAACAUUAGAGUAUUUAAAUAUUCAAUACAUAUAUUUAACACAUAUUUGUAUUAAAUUUAUAUGAUAUUAAACUUAAUUAUUAAAUAUUAGAAAUUAAAAAUCAAAUACGAUGAUUAUGAUAAACUAAAUGCGUAGGUGCACAUGCAUGAAUUGAAUGGCAAAUAAACAUUCAAGAAUACCUAUAUCGACUUUAUCUACAAGUUUAUCGUUACGAUUUACGUACGAUGUCACGAUAUAAAACUAUAUGUCUAAGUGAACUUGCAAUACGUACGUAUCACAUUUUUCGAAGCAAAUUUCGAGCGAACAAAUGUAAAUGAACGAUUAUGAACGUGGUGUUCAGAAAUUGUGAUCAUAAAUAAUAUGUGGUCACAUGCUAUAAUAUAAUCAAAAACGAUCUUGCAGAUUGGCCUGCAAUCGUGAUGAUGAACGAGAUAAUCGUUGGCUGGAAUUUUUUGGUCGCUGUAGAGGAGACCGUCGAUUUUGACGUCUUAUAAUGUAAUAAAUAACACAAAAUAUUUUAAAAAUUGAUGGAGUAUAUCUAAUCUACUAUUCUACUAUAAAUACUAAAAUAAGCCUAAUAAUUAUCUCUUACUUUAACACUCUAUACUAACUAACUUUUACGUUAUAAUACCUUAAAUAAACAAUUAUAAUUUCAA